CCAUGUGCACUUGAGAAGAAUAUGGAUUUUACUGUCGAUGGAUGGAAUGUUCUAUAGAUGCUGGGGCGCUGCUGCAUUAUUAAGUAUAAAUGUAUUACAUCCAAGGACCAAUUUUCCCACCCCUGUGCAGAAUAAAGCAAGCAAAUGGAGCCAAGUUCAUUGUUAACACAAUGGAGCAGCUGCGUGGUGACUGCAGACAUCAGUGGAUACAUCACCCGGGGACUAUCAGCCAUUGGUACAAUCAAAAAUGAAUCUCCUUCCAAAUUUUCAGAAGGAAACAAUAGCACAUCCCAUAUACAUGCUGCUAUUUACAUGUCUCUUUCUGGUAAAUGUUUUGUCAAAUAUAAUGAGUCAACACCGUUAAAAAGUAGUUAUGUUUCAACUCUUCCUACAGAAACACCAUCCAAUAACUAGAGAUUUUGUCUAUUUAGUAACUAUUUUAUGAAUUUAUAAGCAAUCAUAAUUUUAAAACUCUGAAGCAUUAAGUUAAACACGCCUUGGGCAGAUGAGGAUGGCACAUGCAGAGCCAUUCUCUGCCAUAUUGCUUUGCUGAAACCUAAUUGCAGAGGGCAGCUUUCAGUGGCUAGAGUACAUGCUAGGAAAAAUUCACCUUCACGUUUGCCUUAUAUCACAUUUGAAAUCAUUGUAUUUCCUAGAGGAGAAAUUCUAGAGGAGAAUUUAAAAUAUAAUUCAUUGUUGAGAUGAAAAGUGUGACAAAGCAGAGGCUUGUUGUAGGUUCAUGGGCAUCAGUCUUGAGGCAGGACCAGAUUCCAAAAGGCUUCGGGGUGGCCCCAGCCCCUGCUCUCCCACUGUGCCCUGAACGCCAGAUUCUAUUUCUGACACCUACACCAAUGCUUCUUGGAAACUAACCCCUGUAUGACAUUCAGAAAAAUCAUGAAUUUUAACAACUUGAGAAUGAGAACCUGUACAAUGGGAGAAGUUUUGCAAAUAGAUUUUAUUAUUUAUUUAUUUUUAAAAUGUACUACAAUUUUUUCUCUCCAAGGCA